AGUUACAUAGUUUUUUUUUUUUUUUUUUUUUUUUUAAUUAAAAUUUUUUUUUUGUUAAUUCUUUAUUUUAUUUAAAUUUUUUUUAGAAAAACUGUAAAGGUAAAAUUUAUUUUAUUUUGAAUAUAAAUUUUUUUUUGUACCUUUUGUGUCAGGGUUAAUUUAAUUAUUAGAUUUAUUUUUUUUUCCCGAAUAGUUAAGAUUUAUAUUUUUUUUGUAUUUUAUUGUUGAAUAAAUAUUUAAAAAUUAAUUAUAGUUUUGAAAUGAAAUUUCGUUUGAUUUGGUAUCUGGUUAACUAAGAUAAAAUUUAAUUUUAGAUUUUUUUUUUGUUUAUUUAUUUUUUUUUUUCAUUUAAAUUUCUUAUUUUAAGGGGGAUAAGCUCUUUUUUUUAAUAUAAUUAUUUUUUUAGUUGAUAAUUUUUUGUAGAUUUAGUAUCUGUUUUCAUUGAAAUUUCGUUAAAGAUUGUUAUUUUUUUUUAAUAAUAUUUUUUAUAUUUUUAUUAGUUUUUUUUAUUUAAUUUUUUUUAAUUUAAUAAUGAUUAAAUUAGUAAGAUCAAAAUUUAGUUAUAUGAAUUCGGCAAAUAAAAUUUUCGCCUGUUUAUCAAAAACAUGUCUUUUAGGGUUUUUUAAAAGUCUGGCCUGCUCAAUGAUUAUUAAAUAGCCGCAGUAUUUUGACUGUGCAAAGGUAGCAUAAUAAUUAGUCUUUUAAUUGAGGUCUGGUAUGAAUGGUUAAACGAAAAAUUUUCUUUAUUUAAUUAAUUAGAUUUAAAUUUUUAUUUUUGGUUAAAAUACUAAAUUGUUUAAAAGGGACGAUAAGACCCUAUAGAUCUUAAUAAUUUUUUUAUUUUUUUUUUUGUUGUUGUUUUUUGAAAUUAUUAAAUUCUUUAUUUAGUUGGGGUAAUUGAUAAAAUUUUAAAUUUUAUUUUUUAUUAACAUUUUUUUUUGGUUUUUUGAUCUUUAAUUUUUGAUUUUUAGAUAAAGAUACCUUAGGGAUAACAGCUUAAUUUGUCUGGAGAGUUCAAAUUUAUAGGCAAGAUUGUGACCUCGAUGUUGGAUUAAUUUUUGUUUGUGGGGUAGGUUCUACAAAUCUAGGUCUGUUCGACCUUUAAAAUUUUACAUGAUCUGAGUUCAGACCGGCGUGAGCCAGGUCGGUUUCUAUCUUUUUAUAUGAAUUUUUAAUUAGUACGAAAGGACUUUUAAAAUGUAAUAUUUAUUU
rnacentral:rRNA from 1 species